UGGGGAAUCUUCCGCAAUGGACGAAAGUCUGACGGAGCAACGCCGCGUGAGUGAUGACGGUCUUCGGAUUGUAAAGCUCUGUUAAUCGGGACGAAUGGUUUGUGUGCAAAUAGUGCAUAGACAUGACGGUACCGGAAUAGAAAGCCACGGCUAACUACGUGCCAGCAGCCGCGGUAAUACGUAGGUGGCAAGCGUUGUCCGGAAUUAUUGGGCGUAAAGCGCGCGCAGGCGGACUAGCCAGUCAGUCUUAAAAGUUCGGGGCUUAACCCCGUGAUGGGAUUGAAACUACUAGUCUGGAGUAUCGGAGAGGAAAGUGGAAUUCCUAGUGUAGCGGUGAAAUGCGUAGAUAUUAGGAAGAACCCCAGUGGCGAAGGCGACUUUCUGGACGAACACUGACGCUGAGGCGCGAAAGCCAGGGGAGCGAACGGG
rnacentral:rRNA from 1 species